AGAGAUGUAGCUCAGUUGUAGAGUGCUUGUCUAGAGUGCAAGAGGCCCUGGGUUCAAUCCUCAGCACUA
rnacentral:tRNA from 1 species